GAAAUGUCAAAGAAUCAGCUGAGAGAAAAGAAAAGCCCAGAGGAGAAAUGAGGAUGCAAAGAGAAAGAAAAAUACCCCAACCAGAGAGCUGCAAGGAUAUCAGGAAGGGGGAGUAUCUGGGGACAGAGCGGAGCACGCUUUUCUGAACGCCUUACUCCGGGCUGGGGCUGCUUUCUGCAAGCCCGUGCGGUGCACGUGAGGAGGCUUUCCUUGCGGUGGUGAAAUCAAACACACCUAAGGCGUGAGUCCUCCAGACUUUCCUCACCUGGGCAGCUUGCCCCGGCCACCUGUGCCUCGCCCGGAGAAACUCCAACGUGCAGGGCGCUGAUGGACGAGAUAGAGCACGACAUCACCAAGGCUCGGCAGAAGAAGACUAAGGUGGGAUCCUUCCGAAUCAAUCCUGAUGGGACGCAGGAGAGGAGAAAGAUCCCCCUAGCCCAGUCGGAGGCGUUCCUAACGGACCUUUUGGAGAAAGUCUGUGAGCGAAUGAACGACUACAAGCUUGAGGAAGACCCUGUGACGAAGGAGAGAACUUUCAAGAGAUUUGCUCCUAGGAAAGGAGACAAAAUAUACCAAGAAUUUAAAAAAUUAUAUUUUUAUUCUGAUGCUUACAGACCUUUGAAAUUUGCGUGUGAAACUAUAAUAGAAGAGUAUGAAGAUGAAAUAUUCUCACUUAUCGCCCAGGAGGCACACUAUCUAGCUGACAAGCUGUGCAGUGAAAAAUCAGGUACUGUGUCUGAUGUAACAUGUGCUCGCUGCUCGCACACCCUCUCUCUCUCACUCAGCCUUGCAGGGUCUUGUUUGCAGACCGAGCCUCGCUGCCUCUCUGCGAUCCACGGCUCUGACACAGGAUCCUCCGUCUCUGCUGAAUCAGAAACGACAGCAUGUGAGAGAAAACAGAUAAACAGAAACCACAGGGCUUUGUGGCCUUCCUCUUUGUACUUUCUUUCCUCUACAUGUUAAGUGAAUUCAAACAUUCUUGAUUUCCAGUUGUUAAGGAGAAAAUUCUUGUUCAGAAUUAGAAGACUCCAAAGCACUUUCUUUUUAAAAACUUUGAGAGAUAGGAUUUUUCCAUCCUGGACCAGGGAAGGAGACCCUCACUUCAUGGCUUGAGUAUUUGCUACACCAGCAGAAGAUCUGUGUGAAACUUCUGCUAAUCAUACUGAGCUCUAGGAGUGCCGUGCUGCUGGUUGUAGAGAGGAGUAAAGUCACACCCAAAGAAGAGGCUCCAUUUAUGUGUUAGGCUUUAAGAGGCUGGGCGUACCAAAAGGAAGUCUCUGAAACGCAGUCCUGUCGAAUACCUCUUGAGUUGAUUCUUCUGAUAUCACAGGAGUUCUUCCUAUCACUGUAUAUUAUUGGGUGCGAGCCCCCGGUCCUUCCUCUACGAGGAGGCAGUGGAGGGAAGAGUUGAACCUCUUCUCGCACACACACCUGAGACUCCCUGGCUCUCUCUGUGGGCCACAGGAUGGGCUUCAGUUGUGGUGAGUAAUAAUUUUGUUAUUGCGGUUUUUACAUUGAUUUGGAACAUGGUGUUACACAAAAUGCUGAAAUUGAAAAAGACAGGAUGAGUCACCUUUGCCCCGUCUCCUCUUCAAGUCUGAUCCUAAUUGAACGGAGAGUGCAAACUGCACGCCAAGAUUUGCAGAACAAAGGCCUCCCCGCCCACAAGUUCCUCAUGGCCUUGCCUCCGUCCCCGAAACCCCGCUGUUAGCCUCCCUCACUGGAAUAAGGCAUUAGCACAGAAGCCAACGCUGGGGGAAAAGAAAAUCAAUACAGCGUGGAAGAGAAAGCAGGAAGCUAUGGAGGGAGGGAGAGACUGAAGCUCCGGCUGGAAGGACUUCGUUUGUGAUAAGAGCAGAGAGGAAAAGCAGCAAGAAGGAAAAGUCGCUGUACACUUUGGGUCUGGACAUCAAAGAAACAAAGGAAAUGCUUAGAUUCAGAGUGGCAUGUGUGUAGGACAAAGUCCUGCUUUCCUGUCUUGGGGGACACCACUAUCACCCCAUGUGAGAGACCAGUGCUCCCCAAGUGGCCCUCUCCUGGCAUUUCACUGAGACACAAGCUCCCUGAAAGCUGGGGCUUACCUGACCACGUGCCCCCUGCACUCCCAGGGCUGAGACCUGCGUCCGGUCCCUGCUGGACACCCAGAGAGGGUUGACAGCAUGAGCGAAUGAGCUUCUCCGUCUGCUCAUAAAUGUGACGGACACCUUCUCCUACAGCCACCCAUUUCACACAUCAGGCAAACGUCUGUCAAGUCCACUCCUGAAAAUGCUGAAAGAUGUGGCUGGCACUGGGCAGGUGAUGCAGUCACAGCCUCACCCUAGGCCACUCCAGGUCUCUGCUGCCAGGCUACCAGGAGCAGAGAAACACAGGUCCUCUAGCAUAGGUUUCAGAUGAGGAAACCAAGGCCCAGAGAGGAAAAGGCACAGCA
rnacentral:sRNA from 1 species